AGGAUUAACGCUGGCGGCGUGCCUAACACAUGCAAGUCGAACGGACCUUUAUUUUUGAGACUUUCCAUUUCCUUGGAGCGUCCCAUAAAUAAUGGUUAGUGGCGGACGGGUGAGUAACACGUUGGUACCUGCCUUCUAGUGGGGGAUAACGCACCGAAAGGUGUGCUAAUACCGCAUGUGAUCUACGGAUCAAAGCAGCAAUGCGCUAGAAGAGGGGCCUGCGGCUGAUUAGCUUGUUGGUAGGGUAAUGGCCUACCAAGGCGACGAUCAGUAGCUGGAUCGAGAGGUUGACCAGCCACACUGGGACUGAGAUACGGCCCAGACUCCUACGGGAGGCAGCAGUGAGGAAUUUUCCACAAUGGACGAAAGU
rnacentral:rRNA from 1 species